rnacentral:lncRNA from 1 species
CAGCAGGCAGGGGCUCGGUCGCUGUCUGUAGUGGAUGCCGUGCUCCGGCUCCCUCGGCUGCGGUGGGGCUCCGUGCUGUGAUCCGGCUGAGGAAUUAAAGGGAUUUAAAUUAUUUUUCGAGGUGGAAAAGCCGCUGCGCCGUCUGCACCCGCUUAGUAACGUAAGCCGUAAUGCUACAGCAGGGAGCGGGCCCCGCUGUGUUUCAGGGAGAAGGUUCCAAGUGGGAGAUCAUAAUCCCAAGCAGAGUCAUAGUCAUUACUACAUAAAAUUCAGUUUGGUUUUGCUAGUAUUUGGUGUAAGAGCCUCAGAAGCAAUACACUCCAAACAGGAACUGAGAUUGUAACCAGCAAGAAAUCAGUUACAAACCUCAAAUCCAUGCCAGGAUUUCAUUUAUGCUUUCUUAUUAGCAGAAAUCUCAGAAUAAUUAUUUUUAGUCACAUGCUCUUCUCUACAAAUUCACAAUUUCUUCCUUUAGGAAAAUGGGCUAUACUUAAAAAAUUCAGUGAAACUACCAGCUACUACAAGCACUGCUCACCUCUGAGGCUACUUCUAGAUGCAUAAAACAUACUUCUCUUGUAAAAGUUAUCCAUCUCAAGAAGUGUCACUACACAUAAUCAGCACUGAUAACUUUGAUAAUUGUUACUAAAUUCCAAAUGAGUGACAAAUUCUGUUUGCUGUGCUGAUGUUAUAAUAGCUUGCGGUAGCUCAGAUAUUACUGCUGAGAGAAAAGAACUCCCUCUAUGGCCAACUGAGUUUGUUCGAGUUUAUUACUGAUAUUUGUUAGAUAUGCAUUGAGAAAGUAAAUUCCAUUAGGAAAGUUCCCACUGAGACUUUCAUAGCUGCUCUAUCUCCCUUUCUAUUCCAUAACUACACACACACAGUGUUAGCUGUGAAAAAGACAUAAAAUAUGUCAGUCAGUUCAAUUUUCUAAAACAGGCUGAUGUCAUUCAGUCUAACAUUUAACAUUUUUAUUUAUUGCCUUAGUGGGAAAGAAAAUUUCAAACAAUGAAAAAAAAUCUAAUAACCUAUUCAGAGAAGUAAUAAUCCACAGUUAUCCAGCAGUCUCAUUGUGAUGCCCUUAUAAUGCAAAAUCCAUAGCACUGAGAGUACUGCCACACUGCCCUUUCUUCAAUUAACUGAACAUGAAAUAAAAAUACUCUCAGGCAUCUCUUUUUUGGUAUA